UACGAAGGGGGCGAGCGUUGUUCGGAAUCACUGGGCGUAAAGCGCACGUAGGCGGAUUGCUAAGUCAGGGGUGAAAUCCUGGAGCUCAACUCCAGAACUGCCUUUGAUACUGGCGAUCUUGAGUCCGGGAGAGGUGAGUGGAACUGCGAGUGUAGAGGUGAAAUUCGUAGAUAUUCGCAAGAACACCAGUGGCGAAGGCGGCUCACUGGCCCGGUACUGACGCUGAGGUGCGAGAGCGUGGGGAGCAAACAGG
rnacentral:rRNA from 1 species